AGCAGCCGCGGUAAUUCCAGCUCCAAUAGCGUAUAUUAAAGUUGUUGCAGUUAAAAAGCUCGUAGUUGAACUUUAGGCCCGUCCGAGUGGUCCGUCCUCUGGGCGAGCACUGCUUCGUGGCGGGUCUCACCUUCUGGCGAGCGUGGAUGCCAUUCGGUUGGUGUCCGCGGGAACCAGGACCUUUACCUUGAAAAAAUUAGAGUGUUUAAAGCGGGCUUCGACGCUUGAAUACAUUAGCAUGGAAUAAUGAAAUAGGACGAGGUCCUAUUUUGUUGGUUUAGGGACCUUCGUA
rnacentral:rRNA from 1 species